UGGAUUUGACGUGUCCCACCCGCUAGAGGAGCCUGUUCUAUAAUCGAUGGUCCCCGCUUUACCCCACCCCCUCUUGCUUUUCAGUCUGUAUACCUCCGUCGUAAACUUACCACAUGAGUGCCUAAUAGUUUAGUCAAAGGGUCCCCUUUACCAACACGUCAGGUCAAGGUGCAGCCCACGAGGGGGCAGAAAUGGGCUACAAUUUCUAAGCUAGAACAAACGAAAUACUGCAUGAAAACACAGUCAAGAAGGAGGAUCUAGUAGUAAAGAGAAAAUAGUGUGUUCUCUUAAAUACGGCCCUGGGAUACGUACACACCGCCCGUCGCCCUCUUCUAAAAUCAUAACCCGCUAACUAACCAGCUACCUUUAAUAGAGAAGGAUAGUCGUACAUGGUAAGUGUACUGGGAAUG
rnacentral:rRNA from 1 species